GAUGAACGCUAGCGGCAGGCUUAAUACAUGCAAGUCGAGGGGUAGCAAGAUUGUAGCAAUACAAUUGUUGACGUCCGGCAAACGGGUGCGGAACACGUACACAACCUUCCUACAAGUGGGAAUAGCCCAGAGAAAUUUGGAUUAAUACCCCGUAACAUAGCGAUGUGGCAUCACAUUGCUAUUAUAGCUUCGGCGCUUGUUGAUGGGUGUGCGGCUGAUUAGAUAGUUGGCGGGGUAACGGACCACCAAGUCUACGAUCAGUAGCUGAUGUGAGAGCAUGAUCAGCCACACGGGCACUGGGACACGGGCCCGACUCCUACGGGAGGCAGCAGUAAGGAAUAUUGGACAAUGGACGCAAGUCUGAUCCAGCCAUGCCGCGUGAAGGAUUAAGGUCCUCUGGAUUGUAAACUUCUUUUAUAAGGGACGAAAAAAGGUCUUUCUAGAUCGUCUGACGGUACCUUAUGAAUAAGCACCGGCUAACUCCGUGCCAGCCGCCGCUGUAAGAC
rnacentral:rRNA from 1 species